GGAGGUGUGGCUCAAACGGUAGAGCAGCUGCCUAGGAAGCGCAAGGUGUUGAGUUCAAACCCCAGUACUUCCA
rnacentral:tRNA from 1 species